rnacentral:tRNA from 1 species
AGCUUUUGGGCCCAUACCCCAAACAUGUUGGUUAAACUCCUUCCUUUACUAAUGAACCCCUACAUUCUAGCC